UAAAGGAAAGGGUGAGUUUAGAGUAACCAUUAAUACAUGCCCGAGGGAUUUGAGCCAAGGGGCUCCCAAAAUGACUUCUGCUCCACUAAGAGGCAAACCAUAAAAGCCAAUUUUGAAAAGACUUAUUUGAAGCGUUAGAGCCACGUCAGCACACAGGUGUUAGCCUUCUAGCAAGUGGUCAUUACCACCCAUAAAUUUAAGCAUGUUAACUGGAGUUGAUGGAAGGUUCAAUAAUUUUUCCAUGUGGCUCUGAAUGAAAUUGUGUGUGCUACCACCAUCGAUAAGCACUGUGACGGUGUGAUGGGAGUUUUGUUCGAGAAUGCGAAUAGUGGUGGAUGCUAGGGAUCCUGAAAGAGCAUGGAAAUUGAUUUGGCUGUCAAAGUUGGAGGUGAUAUCCGAGAGUAACUAUGUUUGUGGCAAGUCAUCGAAUAUGGUGUUGUCGGUUAUGGAGUCUGAUUCGUCAAAAACAAGGAGGGAGAAUUUGACUUUACAUUUGUGACAAAGGAUGAAAGUUUCAUCGCAGUUGUAGCAAAGGCUCUUUUCACGCCGUGAGGAUAUUUCAUCAGGGAAGAGUUUACGAAAUUAUACACAUGGAGGGUUUUGUAAGAGAGGUAUGAUGAUGGUGUUUAAGAAGGUGGGUGGAUUGGUAAUAGAUUUAUGUUUGAAUCCCUUUCUGCAAUAUUUGAUUUUAUCUUGUAAUUUGGUUAGCAAUGUCGCAUGAGCAAGGGUUGUUGGUUGAGGGUUUGUACCUCUCGCUGGAUUUCUAGGGAGAGACCUGAGAUGAAACAGUUGAGGAGGAAGGGUUGUGGAAGACCUACGAUUAGGUUGGCUUGCGUCGUCGUAGUAACUAAGUGCACAACGGGUUUCCAGAGCUUGUAACAAACCAAACUAGGUGGCGAUGAGGCCAUUGCGGUGCAUUCACUAAAACCAGCUCCUUGCAAGGCUGUCCAUGUAGAAGGAAGCCACGACGAUACGUUCUUCUUCCGGGACGUGGUGGUAAUCGAAUAACUAAUUGAUCUUGAAGAUUCGGUCCAUGGCGUCAAUGUCAUCAAAGUGGGGAACCUCUAAAUUCAUGUGUGAGAGGAAUGGUGGUGGUGUGGGAGGUGGGGGUGAAGGUGGAGUUGGUUGAGUUGUGAGGAUAGUUUGUUGGAUGAUGAUUAAAUAAACCUUUUCCGCUAAAUCACAAGGCGUUUGGCGUGUGUUGGUCUGUCGACCAUUUAAGAAGAAGUGGAGGAGCAAUGAAAGCACAAAAUUAUUAAGGGUAACUUCCUUGAUUUGUAGGACAAGGGGCAUCCACAAGAGAGUAAGAGAGAAGAAGGUUUUUGAAAUUUUCUUGUUGCCUUUUCUCAUUCAGCCAAAUCGAUACACGGUAUGAUGAGUUGUAAUUCUUCUAGAAUCAUAUGAGUCUUUAUUCAUGCUUCCUUGCUUUCCUCACUCAUAAUUAUUGAGAUAGUUGGGUAUGUUUCUGAUU